rnacentral:lncRNA from 1 species
UCUACUAAGUGUUGGAGCCUCGCUCAUAUCAGUCUGGAGAGAAUAGAUAACCUUCAAGAUUGCAAGUAGAAAAUCAAGAUGGCUUAUUCAUUCGUAUUUGAGGAACUCAGUUGAAGGAUGAUAAUCUAAGGAAUUCAUAGAAGGAACUGGGUGAAGAGAAUUUCGAAGAAUAGUAUGAGGACUGUGUCAUGUACAAGUUCAUAAAGUGGAGAUGUGGGAGAAGGAACCCAAAUUCAACCUAAAAUUAAGCAGAUGUGAAGUAAAUUCCAAGGAAGAUUGAAGAGUGCAACGAAAAAGGUAUAACCAUAAGGCAUAUGGGAAUGCUCAAGUUGUUAAGAGAUCAGAAGAUGUAUUAACAGAGAAAGUAUAAAUUCAUCAUACAAGAGUAAUUCGUUGGUAAAUCAAGUUUGGUAUAGGCGGGCUUGUUGAUUCCUCAGUUACUAGACAGAAGAAGGAAAUCAGAAAGUAAUAGAACAAGACUUGGAUAUGCGAAACUUCAGUGAGAUUGAGUCGUUCAGAAGUUUUUGAAGAGUAUCUAAGAUAGAUAAGAAGGGUAUGGAAUACUGUAAGGGAAAUCAUUCCUGGAAUAAGUGUGUGUGUGUGUGUAUUUGAGAGUGGCACCUUUGGUCUGAAUCAUGUUAGCGUGAUUGAUCGUGCAUGUUCUUGUUUGAUUGUUGCACGGUUAAUCAAGUUGACAUUGACCAGACUGAAGAUGUUACCUUCACGUAUGGCACAUCACCUGACGUUCCAUAUUUCCAUGUUAUUGAACUGGAGGAAAGCAGAUAGAAAGGUUUCAGAAGUAAUGGUAUUCAGAGAUUCAACGAUGUCAAAAGAAGUAUGUAGACCGCAGUAUAUGAAAGUUAUGUGCGAUGAAGAAUUGGUUAUCGUGAAAGUGUUUGCUCAGAAAAGAAAGAAUUGUUUUAGAAAAGUUGGGGAAAUCCGCAAAUCUGUUAUUUGGUAUGUACCGAGUUGUUCAGAGUUGAAAUGGUUAUCUGUUGCCCAGAACUUCUUUUAGUUAUGCUAUUGGUGAGCCAAUUUUGCGUAAUCUUAUAUCAGACCCAAUAUGAUAGAACUGCUGAGACCAGAAAACUUGUAACCCUAUUUAGCCUAUCCUAAAGGUCCUUUGCGGAUAGGUGAGCACCAUAUCGGAAGAUUGGAGAAAAGGAAAAAUUUGUAAAAGUUCAAGUAUUUGGGGAACCAUCAGUUGUUUUGACACGGGCAGAUGAGGAUAAUUUCAGAGUUGGUUAUCUUAAACUUCUUGCAGAGGUUCCAGUGUUCAGUAAAAGUUUGUACAGAUAUUUUUUGAGAAUUCGGGGACGAAUUCUUUUAAGGGGGGAAGAAUGUAAUAACCCUCACGAGCCAGUUAAUUUUUGGUCGAGAAACACUCCGCUCGACCAGUUUGGAGUUGGUCGAUCAGAUUUAAAAAUAAAGUCGACCCGGUGAAUUAAUACCUCGACGGGACUAUCUUGUGGUCGAAAGGCCUCUCAUUGAUAGUUCUGGUAGAGUGUUAAUAAUGUUGGUCGAAUUUUAUUUAAGCUAGGCAAGCUUAGUUGAAAGCAAGACGAGAUUCAAAGGAUGGGAAAUUUUAGUCGAAAACUGUCCGAAAUUGUCGUUAAGUUUCUUAACUAAAUUCCGACCAGUCUAAUACUUUCACCAGCUAUUCUUAUUGCUUUCUCAGUAAAUCAGUCACAUGAGCUGCACCUACCUGCUUGCUUGCUUCACUAAAGUCACAUGAAAGUCACAAGCUGGUUGCUUGUUUAAUAAAAACAAAAUAAUCUUUCUUCAAAGGAGGGAAAGGACAGCAACUUGCUUUGGUUUAAGUAAACCCUCACCUGAAGCAACUUCUUAUGUUAUAAAACACCAUCUUCUCUCCUCUGGACGUUCAUAACCUGCAAGAAAAACCAGAGAAAAAUUCAGAGAGAAAGAGAGAAAGAAGAGAGAAAUAUUUGUGAGAAAAACUAGUUGAAAAAUUCAGAAACAAAAUUCAGAGAAGAGAAUUGAGCAUGGACAAACCUUUCUCACCAUCCUGUGACUUUAUCCAGUGUGUACUGGUGUGGUUAAGAGCUGAAGGUUUGGUGUCCAAGAGUUUAGAAUCACCCAUAUUCUUCAGCCUUUGAUUUAGAUCGGUAAGAUGGUUGUGGAUCAGUUUCUUUGAGAAGUUUUGUUGGUUUGCCUACACUGGAGAUAAAUUCUGAAUAAAUCCAACCAUGGAUUCUUGUGGUGUUGUUCAGGUUAAUUCGUGGUUAGCUUGAAGAGAGACAACCAGUCAAGUUUAAUUAGUUGAGUAAAACCGGUAAGCUUCAGCUUCUUGAUUCAGCCAUGUUUUGAUGAGAACCAAUUGCUGUAUGUUGGUUAACCUGUCAGGAUCAGUUGUCUAAGGUCUUGUUAUCUUCAGUCUUGGUUGGUUUAUGAUUUAAUCACUCAUAGAACCAGUAGACGAACUGAUAAGAAUUAUGGGAAUUAAACCGAACUGAUUUGAUCUUGUUUAGAACUGAAAUGAGCUGAGUAUGUUCUGAUCUGAUCUGAGCCGAGCUGAACAUGGUAUCAAUCUGUCUUGAACCGAACUGAUAUGAGAGAACUGAACUGAAAUGUUAUGAACUGAGUUGAGUUUCUUCUUGAACCAGACUAGUGAACCUUAUGUUCCAACUGUUAUGUUUUGAAUUCAGAUGGCCAAGGAGAGUAUUCGGAUCAGCCGGAUCCUUGUGAUGGUUCUGAACCGAGAGUGAUCCAGAAGUGAAGUGUGAUUAGCUUGAGCUUGAGUCUAGUCUUCCUUAGCCAAUCUCAUGGAUUUAAAGGUGAGUCUAGAUAGAUGAUGAAUGAAUUAUGAAUGAAUAUGCAUGAUUGCAUAUUGAAUAUGGUUGAUUAAUUAAGAAUUAAUUAAGGGAUAAUCAUUGAUUAAUUAAGGAUUGAUCAUGGAUUAAUUAAGGAGUAAUUAUGGUUGAUUGAUUAAGUAUUAUCCCUUGAUCUAUAUUUAUAUAUGAAGUAUUUAUCUAGUUUAAAUACUUAAGAAUUAAUAAGAAUAAUUCUUUGAGGUUAUCCCGAGCCUUAGUACUUGUUCUCAAGUACUAAUCUAUAAGUAUUCUAUUAAUAAGUGUGAAUCAUGUGAAGUCUUAUUGUAUACUCACUCUCCCGAAAGUCCCGCAUUGCCGUGAAUUGGUCCUGCGAUAUGGAUCAAGGUCAUGAAGACACGAUGAUGGGGUCGCACCCUGGAGGCCGUGUAACUGCAUGCAGCGUUGGAUGUUCUAUCUUGGAAUAUCUGAUGGAGAUGAUGGUUAUAUUUAUUCCCCGUUAAGCUCGUUUAGCCUUGGUGGUUUUCCGGGUUUAGCAUAUAUAUAUAUAUUAAGAGUAUGAGUGAUUGGCGGAUAUCGUGGAGGUGAUGUUUAAGAUAGAUUCACAUAGAUGGAUUGAGAGGCCUUAUAAUUAUAUUAAUUAUGGAAUAUAAUUCCACUGCAUUCAAAUGGUGUCGCUUGCUCGGGAUACUAUUGAUAUGUGUUUGGGUGUGGGAUUACACUCACUGAGUAAACUAGUUACUCAUGACUCAUUUGAUAUGCAGGUAACCAGUAGGUGGGAGACCUUUACUCUAGGACGGGAAGAAACGGCAUUAGCCAGCGGUAGUUUUAUUAUCCUUGCAGUCGUUUUGAUAUACUUUAUGUAUAAGGUUUGUUGACUGAAAACCUCGAGGUUAAUCUAUAAUAUUUUGUAAGAUUCUUUUAAAUGAAUAAGUAUAUAGUGUAUAAAGAAUGUUUUUAAAGUACGGGUUCCAAAUGAUAUUAGUCCUUGUCCGGACGAACCAACUAUUUGGUAUUACUCUUAAGGUUGUAAAGCCUCCGGUUGUACCUAAUAGGAUAUGUGUACUUAGGCGGUUGGCCUAAGGUACCUGGAUUUAUUUCGGGAACUUCGGGUUAGUCGUUUAUGUACACAUUGUGGCUUCUCGGUUUGGUUUCAGUUACGAGUGAUCGGCUGUGCAUGUUCUUGUUUGAUUGUUGCACGGCUGGCCGAGUCAACUCAUACUUAGACCAGAUCGGGGGUGUCACAAAGAUGGUAUCAGAACAUGGUUAUACGAUGCUUGAAUGGGACUUGUUUCAAACGUUUUUCGAGUCAAAAUGAGUCGCAAGGAUAAUUAGGAUGUGCUGGCUGGUUCCUUCCUCUUAGGAUAGAUAGUCAUGGGUAGUUACCUUACUGUUAUCUUUCAUACGAGAUGCAUCAAGACAAGCUCGACGGAGUGGAGUGUACUUACCAAUUUUGAUUCUGUCAAGAUCGAGAUUCCUACAGUCAUGAUUGAGCUUUCUACCGUCAUGAUUCGGUUUUUAUCGUCAUGUUUUGGUUCAAUCCGGUCAUGCUUCAAUCCAUUAUCAUCAUGCUCGGGUGAGCUAACGACGUGCUCGGGUUUGCUACCAUCAUGCCCGGAGUUGGUAUCAUCAUGCUUUCCUGCGGUUCCUACAAUUUCUAGUGUGGAUAUCGAUAUUCAAAGAUAUAUGAGACAGAGUUGACACAUCUAUUACAUCUUCGGCCCGUGUUUUAUUGAAGUCAAAGUUGACGUUGUUGGUGAUGAUCCGGUUCAGAAUAUCCGACUUCAUAUGAUUUAUUCUUUCGGCUGCUCAUUUCAAUCCAGCUUCGUACAAGCCUGAUUGAUUCAGCACUUGUUUCAAGCUUAACGUUGGUGGUGGAGAUAGUUCAGUAGUAGUACAAGACGAUGGACGCACCAGCACCAUUCUGUUGCAACAAGACAUCUUGAAGUUUGUGAACAAGAUAAAGAAGUUGGGACAACACCGACAAGUACUAAACCAUUCGAUGUAGAUUUUGUAUAGAGGAAGAUUUCGAAUGCAACACUAGGAGCAGAACAACUAACGUGGCCCAUUGUUCAGAAGAUUGCAAGAACGAUAUGGAACCAUACAUCAUCAAGAAUGAUACAGUAAGUUGGUGAUUAAGCGUCAAGCAUCAUUUGGGAAAUGUUAGUACAAGUUAGGCGGAUUUCUUUCAAGAGUUCAAGAUGGAGUGUUUUCUACCCAAAACAUGGGACCGAUAUGGAGUUCGCACAGUGAGAUGUUUCCGCCAAGAGUUCAAAGUCAAGUUAAUCUGAUUCAUCCAUUAUGGUUUGGAGGAUGAGCUAAAGAUCAUGAAGAUGUACUAUUGUGACUUAGCCAAUAAUCUCAGAGUAACCCAAACUAUAAAGCUUAAGACGUUUGAGGAGUUUGUGGAGGAUCACAUGAAUUCUAUAGAAGCUGUUUUUACUGAAGAAGUUUACCAAGUCAUGCGGAUUAUUUAACUAUCAACCUAUUCAGAUAGAAGGUCAGUUUCAAGUAAUGAAUCAAGAAAGUCGAUGGAGAUAAUUUUUGUUGGACGUUUCAUCAGAUCAAGACUGAGGACCCUGAGUUGUUUUGGUUUUGGCUAGAAAGGAGAGUAAGGUGAUGAUUGUUCAAGUAUAUAAAAUCCUCGAUCGCUUACGUCAUUUGCGCUUCGGUGGUGCCAGUAAUGAGUACAGAGGUUAUCCUACCAUGGCCCAUGAAGUUACCCGAUCUUUUUACCUAUACCUAGGGUACCGCUUGUUAAACUUGUUCGCUUUCCUUACCAUUAGUCACUGAUUAAGUGUUUGGCUAUUUGGGUAGAGCCUACACUUUAUAGUUGCCUGGACCGUCAAAACCUCUGAAAAGGUCCAAUCACAGGUUUGCUUCUUAUCCCAUUGCGUGUUGUGUGCAUUUUAAAAAUUUAUGAAUGAUUAAAUAAAUAAGUGAAGGAGUGAUCAAGGUGUCGUAUGAGACCUUGCCUAUGGACGGAAUUUUCCGCCCAUAUUGUGUUUGAUGCGGGAACAACACAUAGAUGUAGUUCUCGGGUAGUGUCAUUGUUUUAGGAAGGAUUCACUUUAGUGAAUUCAAGUACACUGUUCUUAUUCGUGGAAGUACUGGCUGCCAUUUAGAGUUAUGGUAUGCCUUCGUAUCCCAUCCCCAUUCCUUAGUACUUCCAUUAGAGCGGUUUGUUUCUAUCUAGAGUGAGAUUGCCUAUCUAGUUAUCGAGCUCAAUUAGGAUGUUGUUGAGGAAGGAAGUCUUUGAGAGAUGACCAGUUACCGUUGGCCUGCAGCCGUAUUCUACUAAGUGUUGGAGCCUCGCUCAUAUCAGUCUGGAGAGAAUAGAUAACCUUCAAGAUUGCAAGUAGAAAAUCAAGAUGGAUUAUUCAUUCGUAUUUGAGGAACUCAGUUGAAGGAUGAGAAUCUAAGGAAUUCAUAGAAGGAACUGGGUGAAGAGAAUUUCGAAGAAUAGUAUGAGGACUGGGUCAUGUACAAGUUCAUAAAGUGGAGAUGUGGGAGAAGGAACCCAAA